GACGAACGCUGGCGGCGUGCCUAAUACAUGCAAGUUGAGCGCUGAAGGUUGGUACUUGUACCAACUGGAUGAGCAGCGAACGGGUGAGUAACGCGUGGGGAAUCUGCCUUUGAGCGGGGGACAACAUUUGGAAACGAAUGCUAAUACCGCAUAAAAACUUUAAACACAAGUUUUAAGUUUGAAAGAUGCAAUUGCAUCACUCAAAGAUGAUCCCGCGUUGUAUUAGCUAGUUGGUGAGGUAAAGGCUCACCAAGGCGAUGAUACAUAGCCGACCUGAGAGGGUGAUCGGCCACAUUGGGACUGAGACACGGCCCAAACUCCUACGGGAGGCAGCAGUAGGGAAUCUUCGGCAAUGGAGGAAAGUCUGACCGAGCAACGCCGCGUGAGUGAAGAAGGUUUUCGGAUCGUAAAACUCUGUUGGUAGAGAAGAACGUUGGUGAGAGUGGAAAGCGCAUCAAGUGACGGUAACUACCCAGAAAGGGACGGCUAACUACGUG
rnacentral:rRNA from 1 species